CAGAGGGGGCAAGCGUUGUUCGGAAUUACUGGGCGUAAAGGGCGCGUAGGCGGCCAACUAAGUCGGACGUGAAAUCCCCGGGCUCAACCCGGGAACUGCGUCCGAUACUGGAUGGCUUGAAUCCGGGAGAGGGAUGUGGAAUUCCAGGUGUAGCGGUGAAAUGCGUAGAUAUCUGGAGAAACACCGGUGGCGAAGGCGGCAUCCUGGACCGGUAUUGACGCUGAGGCGCGAAAGCCAGGGGAGCAAAACGGGAUUAGAUACCCCGGUAGUCCUGGCCCUAAACGAUGAAUGCUUGGUGUGGCGGGUAUCGAUCCCUGCCGUGCCGAAGCUAACGCAUUAAGCAUUCCGCCUGGGGAGUACGGUCGCAAGGCUG
rnacentral:rRNA from 1 species